UGAAGCUGGAGUUGCUAGUAAUCGCGAAUCAGCAUGUCGCGGUGAAUACGUUCCCGGGCCUUGUACACACCGCCCGUCACACCAUGAGAGUUGGCAAUACCCAACGUACGUGAUCUAACCCGCAAGGGAGGAAGCGUCCUAAGGUAGGGUCAGCGAUUGGGGUGAAGUCGUAACAAGGUAUC
rnacentral:rRNA from 1 species